AUACUUACCUGGCAGGGGAGAGGGGAGAUACUAUGAAAGGUGGUUUUCCCAGGGCAAUUUAAUCAUUGCAUUCCAGAUGUGCUGACCUCUGCCAUUUUCCCAAAUGAGGGAAAGUAAGUUACAGUUUGUGGUAGUGGUACUCUCUUUCCUA
rnacentral:snRNA from 1 species